rnacentral:rRNA from 1 species
UACAUGGGGUGCAAACGUUGCUCGGAAUUAUUGGGCGUAAAGCGCGCGUAGGCGGUUACUUAAGUCGGAUGUGAAAGCCCUCGGCCUAACUGAGGAAGUGCACCCGAAACUGAGUAGCUAGAGUACGAAAGAGGGUCGCGGAAUUCCCGGUGUAGAGGUGAAAUUCGUAGAUAUCUGGAGGAACACCGGUGGCGAAGGCGGCAUCCUGGACCGGCAUUGACGCUGAGGCGCGAAAGCCAGGGGAGCAAACGGG